UGGGGAAUAUUGGGCAAUGGGCGAAAGCCUUACCCAGCAAUACCGCGUGAGUGAAGAAGGUCUUCGGAUUGUAAAGCUCUUUGAUUAGGGACGAAUAAAUGACGGUACCUAAAGAACAAGCCCCGGCUAACUACGUGCCAGCAGCCGCGGUAAAACGUAGGGGGCGAGCGUUGUCCGGAAUGACUGGGCGUAAAGGGUGCGUAGGCGGCAUAAUAAGUUAGAAGUGAAAUACCCAGAGCUUAACUCGGGUGCUGCUUCUAAGACUGUUGAGCUUGAGUGCGGGAGAGGUUAAUGGAAUUCCUAGUGUAGCGGUGGAAUGCGUAGAUAUUAGGAGGAACACCAGAGGCGAAGGCGAUUAACUGGACCGUAACUGACGCUGAGGCACGAAAGUGUGGGGAGCAAACAGG
rnacentral:rRNA from 1 species